rnacentral:misc_RNA from 1 species
AGAAAAUUUGCUUCUUGACAAGAAUCAAGCACUGAAGAUAACUGAUUUCGGAGUUUCUAGACUUGAAGCUUUGAAUCCUAAUGAAAUGACAGGUUAUACCGGCUCACUUGGUUACAUGGCACCGGAGGUCUUCGACAAUAAACCAUACAACAGGAAAUGCGACGUCUACAGCUUCGGAAUUUGCUUAUGGGAGAUGUAUUGUUGUGACAUGCUGUAUCCAAAUCUAAGCUUCUAUGAACUAACUUCUGCAGUGGUUUAUCGAAAUCUGAGGCCAGAGAUUCCCAAAUGUUGUCCAAGCUCUCUAGAAAAAUUGAUGAAAAGAUGUUGGGAUGCAGACCCUAACAAGAGACCAGAGAUGGAGGAGGUAGUGUCAACGUUGGAGGCCAUAAACACAUCCA